CAUAGAGGAAGGAGUAAGCAGGACAUAGAAAUAGUGAGAAGGAGGUAUGUAUAUUCAAGGCCCCGUCAGCGAAGUGAAGGAAGGAUGGAGUACAGUAAGGAGAAGAGGAGGAAGGAAGAAGUCAGGAGGAGGAACGACGGAGCAAGGAGAAACCACGAGAAGGAUGGAUGGAACAAGGAAGGAGCCACGAGGAGGUAGGAUGAAGGAAGGAGACACAAGGAAGAAGGAUGGAGCAGGAAGGAGCGAAAAGGAAGAGGAAUUAAGCAGGAAGAAGGAUGAAGCAGGGAGAAGCCAAAGGAGGAAAUUUUUUGUAUAGUGAUAUUGAAGUGAUCUGAGUGACGUCCGCGUCCUGUGUGAUGUCCGUGGCCGUGGGAAGAAGCGACGGACCAGCUGGAGCUGGCGGCGUGUGAGUGGCUGCGACGAGGUGGUGAUGGUGGUGGCUGAAUAAGAUGAAGUGUUAUCGUUUGGCGCACACACUCGUUGGCCAUAUCGUCUGAUGUUGUUAUCGUUUGGCGCACACACUCGUUGGCCAUAUCGUCUGAUGUUGUUAUAGGCCGACAGAGCAGAGCAGAUGAUGACCGCUUCACGCAGCUUCCUCCCCGUGGACCACACCUGCAUCGCUCAGCUUCACCUACCCAAGUACAACGCGAAGGAGAAGCUCAGAUACAAACUUCUACAGGGAAUACAGCAGAAUAAAGGGUUUGGCUUAGUGUGAAGGGGUGAACAGGUGUCUGGGUGGUUUAGAGAGACUGAAUCAUUAAUGCGUUUCCCGAGGCCGCCCCGAACACCAAGAUUCUUAAAUGGAAAGGAAAAUAAUAGUAAUAAUAACAAUAGUAAUAAUUUUUUUGAGUUGCUCCGCGGGAUAACAAUCCAAGCGCCAUCGAACGAAAACGUGUAUUCCUGCGCAAACGGGAGCUCAAGGCGUCCACUUUCAUUAUAUACGCAACGUUCAAUCAAAGUGUAGACCGUAUUGUCAUAGAGAGAAUAAUCUAAGCAACAUCUAGUGGAAGGUGCUUUGAGUUCCCGUUUGCGCGAUCUUGAUACUACAGGCGACUCGGGAUCACUCCUGAGCCGGACCUUUGGAUCGGCAGCUCCUGUAGACAAAAG